rnacentral:rRNA from 1 species
GGAUCAUUAUCGGGAGUGCCCUCGUGGCUCACCUG